GCAGAACGCGAAGAACCUUACCAGGUCUUGACAUCCCAUUGACCACUAUGGAGACAUAGUUUUCCCUUCGGGGACAACGGUGACAGGUGGUGCAUGGUUGUCGUCAGCUCGUGUCGUGAAAUGUUGGGUUAAGUCCCGCAACGAGCGCAACCCUUGUUCUUAGUUGCCAUCAUUUAGUUGGGCACUCUAAGGAGACUGCCGGUGACAAACCGGAGGAAGGUGGGGAUGACGUCAAAUCAUCAUGCCCCUUAUGACCUGGGCUACACACGUGCUACAAUGGACGGUACAAACGGUUGCCAACCCGCGAGGGGGAGCUAAUCCGAUAAAACCAUUCUCAGUUCGGAUUGUAGGCUGCAACUCGCCUACAUGAAGCCGGAAUCGCUAGUAAUCGCGGAUCAGCAUGCCGCGGUGAAUACGUUCCCGGGUCUUGUACACACCG
rnacentral:rRNA from 1 species